AAACUCAAAUGAAUUGACGGGGCCGCACAAGCGGUGGAGCAUGUGGUUUAAUUCGACGCAACGCGAAGAACCUUACCAGGGCUUGACAUCCCCUGACCGCGUAUGAAAGUACGUUUUCACCCUCGGGUGACAGGGAGACAGGUGGUGCACGGUUGUCGUCAGCUCGUGUCGUGAGAUGUUGGGUUAAGUCCCGCAACGAGCGCAACCCCUACGUUUAGUUGCUAACGCGUGAAGGCGAGCACUCUAGACGAACUGCCGUUAACAAAACGGAGGAAGGUGGGAUGACGUCAAAUCAUCAUGCCCCUUAUGUUCUGGGCUACACACGUGCUACAAUGGCCGGUACAGACGGACGCAAAGCCGCGAGGUGGAGCAAAUCCUAAAAAGCCGGUCUCAGUUCGGAUUGCAGGCUGCAAUUCGCCUGCAUGAAGUCGGAAUCGCUAGUAAUCGCAGGUCAGCAUACUGCGGUGAAUACGUUCCCGGGCCUU
rnacentral:rRNA from 1 species